UACGGAGGGUGCGAGCGUUGUCCGGAAUCACUGGGCGUAAAGGGCGCGUAGGCGGCCUGAUAAGUAGGGGGUGAAAUCCUGCGGCUUAACCGCAGGGCUGCCUUCUAAACUGUCAGGCUCGAGCACAGUAGAGGCAGAUGGAAUUCCCGGUGUAGCGGUGGAAUGCGUAGAGAUCGGGAAGAAUACCAGUGGCGAAGGCGUUCUGCUGGGCCGUUGCUGACACUGAGGCGCGACAGCGUGGGGAGCAAACGGG
rnacentral:rRNA from 1 species